AGUAGUUGUAGAGUUUUACGACAGUCGCGUAAAAUAUGAAUUCCGUCUGCUUUCAAUUGCAAAAGCAGAACAAAAGGGAAAACAAAGCAAUUUCUGUUUAAAUAUCGUUUAUUACUUUGUGCUCAACCAUUAAUUAAGGACAAAUGCUGGGCGAUUAUUGCGUGUUGUGCCGCACCCGCACCCGGGCCGGCACCCGUGACCUCCUCUGACCUGUCGCACCCCUUCCGUGGCGUCUCCUUGUGGCAUCUUGGCGAUGGGGAGCCUGAAUGCGGAGACAAUUAAUUGUUGCGCUGUGUAUUCAGUUCGCGCUUUCAACAUUUCAUCUGCAGUUGUCAGUUACUUUUGUCGUAAGCCGCACUCCGACCCUACCCUACCCUACCCUACCCCCCGUGCUGCCACCCACUGCAGCACGCUUAUGAUAAAUGAGUUGUUUUUAUAAUGCGGUGGCGACCUGCCCUGCCGCCUUUGUGUGUGCACCGAGAGUAUUUAAUCCUUUGGGCUUUCAGGCAUUUCAAGCGGCCCGGCCCAUUCAUUUAGUUUCCAUUCCCCAAUGCAGGGCCACUUGGCGAACAUUGGGGGCAUAAUGAGCACCCGGACACGGCACGGACAUCCACGGGAUCCAGACUCUGGCUGACCCUUCCUUCCUCGUUCCUCCUUCGUUCACCCAGCGGGAAAAGUUCGCUUGGACACAAGUUCGCGGCACUGCAGAAAGUUGCAACGUGCAUGUGCCGGCCACAUUCAGAGAAGAGAAAAGUUUACCACUUCGGCUUUGCCAGCAUGGGAGCACCCCAGCACUCCAGCACCUGCGUCCCGUCCCCCACAGAAUUUAUAUUUAUAAUACCGAGAAUACUGCGAGGCGAGUGCUGGGAAUUCAGGUUGUUAUAAAGCGCUUCAACACUGCCGUAUUCUUGGCCAAUUAAUGUGUCAAGGGCCACCCUUGCGAUGAUGCGAUGAACGCGAUGAUGGGUGCGGUCCGUUGGCAGGCUGAUUGAACUUAACGGAACUGAACAGCACUGAAUCCCCAGCGGAGCAAAGCGGACAGAUCCCUGACAAGCCGCCGCAAUGCGACCAAAUCACAUAUAAAUUAUCGCCGUCAAAUUGAUGCCUCUGGUCGAUUCGAGCCAAAAGCCGAUUUAAAACUUAACAGAAUCUUCGCCAGAACCCACUCGGAGCUAGAUGCUGGCAUCCUUUCCACACAAUUCCAUCCCAUCCAUCCCAUUCAAAAGUCUGGUCUGUAAGCAAUGAGCCACAACUACGAGUAGUAAUCCGAAUCAAGG